rnacentral:rRNA from 1 species
UAUAUAUAUGAAUAAUGUUUUUAGGUUUAGGAGUAGUGUAUAUCUAAUUUUUUUUGUAUAUAUAUGUGUUUUCUAUGUAAAUUUUUGUAUUAAGAGAAAUUUAAUCUCUAUUAAAAUGAUUUAUAAAACUGUAUAUUUAUUUUUGUAUUUUUUAUAUUUAAAGUACUUUUUACUCAGUUAAUUUUGGGUUUUAUAUUUUGAAGGGAGCAAUAAAGUGCCAGCACUCGCGGUUAAACUUUUUCUUUAUUUUAUUUUUAAAGUUAUAAUGUUCUAUGUAAAUUAAUUCUUAUCAUUAUUUCUUGUAGAAUAAAUUAGAUGUGUAGAUUGUUUAUAUUAAGAGAUUGAUUAUUGGUUAAGAAUUAAGUAUCCUUUUAUUUAUUAAUUUUUUUUUCUUUAAUUAGUAUUUUUAUAAAAAUUUUUAUAAAUUUGACGGCUGAGUUUCUUAUUAGAGAAAUUUGUAAUUGUAAAUGAUUUUACACGUUUUAAUUAUCUGUUUUGGUUAUCAUUUGUAUGUUAUUGUUGUUGAGAAUUUAUUGAUAGUUUUCUUUAAGUUACUUAAGUUGUUAAUACAGUUAAGUGCAAAUAAUAAGUUAAUUUAUUAUGAAUUGCUUUAGGUUUUAAGAAUUUAAAAGUAAUUCAAUGUAUUUUAAAUUGGUUAUAUAAGUUCAUCUUGGUGUAUAUAUUGUCCGUUAAUCUUGAGUAUUGGGUAAGUUAUAAUAUGGUUAGUAUUUUGUAAAAAAUACUUA